AAAACGACUCUCGGCAACGGAUAUCUCGGCUCUCGCAUCGAUGAAGAACGUAGCGAAAUGCGAUACUUGGUGUGAAUUGCAGAAUCCCGUGAACCAUCGAGUCUUUGAACGCAAGUUGCGCCCUAAGCCGUUUGGCCGAGGGCACGUCUGCCUGGGCGUCAAU
rnacentral:rRNA from 1 species